GACCGCGACCCCAGGUCAGGCGGGACUACCCGCUGAG
rnacentral:rRNA from 2 species